GAUGAACGCUGGCGGCGUGCCUAAUACAUGCAAGUCGAGCGAACGGACGAGAAGCUUGCUUCUCUGAUGUUAGCGGCGGACGGGUGAGUAACACGUGGAUAACCUACCUAUAAGACUGGGAUAACUUCGGGAAACCGGAGCUAAUACCGGAUAAUAUUUUGAACCGCAUGGUUCAAAAGUGAAAGACGGUCUUGCUGUCACUUAUAGAUGGAUCCGCGCUGCAUUAGCUAGUUGGUAAGGUAACGGCUUACCAAGGCAACGAUGCAUAGCCGACCUGAGAGGGUGAUCGGCCACACUGGAACUGAGACACGGUCCAGACUCCUACGGGAGGCAGCAGUAGGGAAUCUUCCGCAAUGGGCGAAAGCCUGACGGAGCAACGCCGCGUGAGUGAUGAAGGUCUUCGGAUCGUAAAACUCUGUUAUUAGGGAAGAACAUAUGUGUAAGUAACUGUGCACAUCUUGACGGUACCUAAUCAGAAAGCCACGGCUAACUACGUGCCAGCAGCCGCGGUAAUACGUAGGUGGCAAGCGUUAUCCGGAAUUAUUGGGCGUAAAGCGCGCGUAGGCGGUUUUUUUAAGUCUGAUGUGAAAGCCCACGGCUCAACCGUGGAGGGUCAUUGGAAACUGGAAAACUUGAGUGCAGAAGAGGAAAGUGGAAUUCCAUGUGUAGCGGUGAAAUGCGCAGAGAUAUGGAGGAACACCAGUGGCGAAGGCGACUUUCUGGUCUGUAACUGACGCUGAUGUGCGAAAGCGUGGGGAUCAAACAGGAUUAGAUACCCUGGUAGUCCACGCCGUAAACGAUGAGUGCUAAGUGUUAGGGGGUUUCCGCCCCUUAGUGCUGCAGCUAACGCAUUAAGCACUCCGCCUGGGGAGUACGACCGCAAGGUUGAGACUCAAAGGAAUUGACGGGGACCCGCACAAGCGGUGGAGCAUGUGGUUUAAUUCGAAGCAACGCGAAGAACCUUACCAAAUCUUGACAUCCUUUGACAACUCUAGAGAUAGAGCCUUCCCCUUCGGGGGACAAAGUGACAGGUGGUGCAUGGUUGUCGUCAGCUCGUGUCGUGAGAUGUUGGGUUAAGUCCCGCAACGAGCGCAACCCUUAAGCUUAGUUGCCAUCAUUAAGUUGGGCACUCUAAGUUGACUGCCGGUGACAAACCGGAGGAAGGUGGGGAUGACGUCAAAUCAUCAUGCCCCUUAUGAUUUGGGCUACACACGUGCUACAAUGGACAAUACAAAGGGCAGCGAAACCGCGAGGUCAAGCAAAUCCCAUAAAGUUGUUCUCAGUUCGGAUUGUAGUCUGCAACUCGACUACAUGAAGCUGGAAUCGCUAGUAAUCGUAGAUCAGCAUGCUACGGUGAAUACGUUCCCGGGUCU
rnacentral:rRNA from 1 species